UACGUAGGGACCAAGCGUUGUCCGGAAUCAUUGGGCGUAAAGAGCGUGUAGGCGGCUUGUUAAGUCUUGCGUGAAAUCUCGGGGCUCAACCCCGAGCGGUCGUGAGAAACUGGCAGGCUAGAGUGCGGGAGAGGAGAGUGGAAUUCCUGGUGUAGCGGUGAAAUGCGCAGAUAUCAGGAAGAACACCCGUGGCGAAGGCGGCUCUCUGGAACGCAACUGACGCUGAGACGCGAAAGCGUGGGGAGAAAACAGG
rnacentral:rRNA from 1 species